rnacentral:rRNA from 1 species
CCUACGGGAGGCUGCAGUGGGGAAUAUUGCACAAUGGGCGCAAGCCUGAUGCAGCCAUGCCGCGUGUGUGAAGAAGGCCUUCGGGUUGUAAAGCACUUUCAGCGGGGAGGAAGGCGGUGAGGUUAAUAACCUCAUCGAUUGACGUUACCCGCAGAAGAAGCACCGGCUAACUCCGUGCCAGCAGCCGCGGUAAUACGGAGGGUGCAAGCGUUAAUCGGAAUUACUGGGCGUAAAGCGCACGCAGGCGGUCUGUCAAGUCGGAUGUGAAAUCCCCGGGCUCAACCUGGGAACUGCAUUCGAAACUGGCAGGCUAGAGUCUUGUAGAGGGGGGUAGAAUUCCAGGUGUAGCGGUGAAAUGCGUAGAGAUCUGGAGGAAUACCGGUGGCGAAGGCGGCCCCCCGGACAAAGACUGACGCUCAGGUGCGAAAGCGUGGGGAGCAAACAGGAUUAGAUACCCGUGUAGUC